GGAUAAACGCUGAAAGCAUCUAAGCGUGAAGCCAACCUCAAGAUGAGAUUUCCCAUAGCGUAAGCUAGUAAGAUCCCUUGAAGAACACAAGGUUGAUAGGUCGGGGGUGUAAGCAUGGUAACAUGUUUAGCUGACCGAUACUAAUAGAUCGAGGGCUUGACCAAAUA
rnacentral:rRNA from 1 species